CCUACGGGAGGCAGCAGUGGGGGAUAUUGCACAAUGGGGGAAACCCUGAUGCAGCGACGCCGCGUGGGUGAAGAAGCGCCUCGGCGCGUAAAGCCCUGUCAGCCGGGAAGAAAAUGACGGUACCUGAAGAAGAAGCCCCGGCUUACUACGUGCCAGCAGCCGCGGUAAUACGUAGGGGGCAAGCGUUAACCGGAUUUACUGGGUGUAAAGGGGGCGCAGACGGCGAUGCAAGCCAGGAGGUAAAGCCCGGGGCCCAACCCCGGGACUGCUCUUGGAACUGCGUGGCUAGAGUGCAGGAGGGGCAGGCGGAAUGCCUGGUGUAGCGGUGAAAUGCGUAGAUAUCAGGAGGAACACCGGUGGCGAAGGCGGCCUGCUGGACUGCAACUGACGUUGAGGCCCGAAAGCGUGGGGAGCAAACAGGAUUAGAUACCCCAGUAGUC
rnacentral:rRNA from 1 species